CUAUAGACAAAAAUUGCCAACAAGGAUUUUUGUAGAUUUAUACGCGAGACCUAGUUAUUUUUCACAAAAAAAAAAUGUGCUGUUUCAUUUUCUCAAUCGUGUUCCUAAUUGCUAUAUAUUUCUUAACCCGCUUUUUACUUACCAAAUAUUUUCCUAAUCUAGAUUUCUCUAUUUUAUAAAUCUUCAAUCGUAAUUUUUAGUGGUGUAACUUCUUUGUUGUGUAGAAUUACUACCAUCCAAUACUUCGAGAGCUUAACCUAAGCCUUACAUAUCCGGUAUCAUACGAGCACUCCGAUCACAGAAUUCAGAACGUCAGAUGACGUGCCCAGCUGCAUUUCCGUCUACCUGCAUAAUAUUUUUCUGGACCAGAAAAUUUCACUUCAACCGUCAUAAUGAUUUUCUGCUGGCGUUCCUGUAUCACCUUCAAGGGGAAAGGUUUACCUUUAGGCGUUGCCAUGAAAUGACCAGUCUCCACAGCUGUUGGCCCUAGGUGCAGAGGAGAUGUUUAAGUCCACGAUUAUCUUAAAUGGGAGUGAUUAAAUGUUGAUAAAUACAAUAGAAUUUUAAAAAUAUAUUCUAAUCUUAACUCACCAUGUCAAAAAAACUAAGAUGUACUCUUAUAGCUAAUGAAUAGAUGAUAUGAAGUAAUACUAGUCGAACGAGACGUUUUAGAUUAAAGCUUUGAUAAUGCGUCGUAAAUAAGAAUAAACCAUCCAAAGUUAUUUGUAAAUAACAGAACUUUGUAAUUCGCUGCGCAUACAAUAUUAAAAGCAAUGAUAUGAUCAUUUCUCCUUCAAUAAAUCUUGAAUUAGGGCAAAAAACACGAAAAUGAUCAAUUGUUGUUUUUCUCUUGCCUAAACUCGGCCAGUACCAUCUCAAACUAGGUUUCCGUGCAUCAGUUUCAUGAAUCAAGCACCUAUCUUGCGUUUGUCAUGCAUGCAUUUUACCUAUUUUCUCUGGAGUGGAUAUCUUUAACGCAUUUGAUACAAGUUUUUAAGAUACCUGGAUCUCACCUAUAUCUAUUUGGACUGUAGUAUUGACUUUUUAUAAGGCUCUUAGGGCUUUAACAACGAAUCUAAGAAAAAUAUGUUGACAAAAAUCCUUCGACUCGCGUAAAAAAUCCUUAGUAUUCGUUUCUGGGUACAUCGGUGAAAACACGAAUGUGUGUUUAAAGUUGUGUAAAUUUCUGCUCGUCUUUUGGCUACCUCAGAAAAUCAUUAUACAUUAUCAAUUAAACCUUUUUAAAAUGA